rnacentral:rRNA from 1 species
UACGUAGGAGGCGAGCGUUGUCCGGAAUUACUGGGCGUAAAGAGCUCGUAGGCGGUUCGUCGCGUCGGCUGUGAAAACCCGGAGCUCAACUCCGGGCCUGCAGUCGAUACGGGCGGACUAGAGUUCGGCAGGGGAGACUGGAAUUCCUGGUGUAGCGGUGAAAUGCGCAGAUAUCAGGAAGAACACCCGUGGCUAAGGCGGCUCUCUAGUACGGUACUGACGCUGAGACGCGAAAGCGUGGGGAGCGAACAGG